AUGUUCUUACCCGGUGGUUCUCAAGAAGAUGUUCUACUAGUUCGUCAUUCCUCAUUCCUUUCUCUUCUCCGGUGGAUUCAAGUCAAGAUUUGUCGAUUAUAUCCUUUUUUUUCUCGUCUCAAAUACCUUCUCUUGACGGUGCUCCUCAUAUUUAUUCAUUUCUCGCUAUUCUAUUGUUCCGAAGUGCUCAAGAUAUCUCGAAGAUUCGUGUUUCCACUCUGCAUUCGUUCAAGCUCUUUCGAGAUUGGUAUCUCAUUCAAGUCAUUUAAUUCAACCGGUGCAACAUCUCUUUUAAAUCUUUUCAACGGUGUUCUUUUGAGUGGGCCCUAA
rnacentral:rRNA from 1 species